UCUUCACAUAGAUAUAAAUAUUAAGAGUAAUAUUUAUAUCGGAUUGACCCACCAUGAGAAUACUACAUAGUAUGUUAUGAAAUGUCAUAAGAUAUUCUCAUAGUGAUAAGUGGUGUAUUCCACCCUUCGACCUGAAACCACUAUGUUCCCUAGAUGUAGGAGUGUAGUACUUUGUCGCCAUUCAAAGUUAUCCGUAACAGGAUGACUAUAAAGUUGGUUGA
rnacentral:lncRNA from 1 species